UUGUGUAUUGUAAUUGAUACUUCAAGAGAAAGGGAAGUGUUGGCUUUUUAAACACUUGAAAGACACUGGACUCAUUGAGAGGAUUUAGUACUGCUAUAACGGACUGAUGCAGCAGAUGGCAGCAAUGCAAUAAU